rnacentral:rRNA from 1 species
GGCCGCGGGAAUUCGAUUCAGGCCUAACACAUGCAAGUCGAGCGAUCUUCUUCGGAAGAGAGCGGCGGACGGGUGAGUAACGCGUGGGUAACCUGCCCUGUACACACGGAUAACAUACCGAAAGGUAUGCUAAUACGAGAUAAUAUGCUUUUAUCGCAUGGUAGAAGUAUCAAAGCUUUGGCGGUACAGGAUGGACCCGCGUCUGAUUAGCUAGUUGGUGAGGUAAUGGCUCACCAAGGCGACGAUCAGUAGCCGACCUGAGAGGGUGAUCGGCCACAUUGGAACUGAGACACGGUCCAAACUCCUACGGGAGGCAGCAGUGGGGAAUAUUGCACAAGGGGCGGAAGCCUGAUGCAGCAACGCCGCGUGAGCGAAGGAGGCCUUCGGGUCGUAAAGCUCUGUCCUCAAGGAAGAUAAUGAC